UACGUAGGGGUCUAGCGUUGUCCGGAAUUAUUGGGCGUAAAGAGCUCGUAGGCGGUUCGGCAAGUCGGAUGUGAAAUCUCCACGCUUAACGUAGAGGGGCCAUUCGAAACUGCCGUGACUCGAGUCCGGUAGGGGAGUGCGGAAUUCCCGGUGUAGCGGUGAAAUGCGCAGAUAUCGGGAGGAACACCAGUGGCGAAGGCGGCACUCUGGGCCGGAACUGACGCUGAGGAGCGAAAGCGUGGGGAGCGAACAGG
rnacentral:rRNA from 1 species